UACGUAGGGUGCGAGCGUUGUCCGGAAUUACUGGGCGUAAAGAGCUCGUAGGUGGUUUGUCGCGUUGUUCGUGAAAACCUGAGGCUUAACCUUGGGCGUGCGGGCGAUACGGGCAGACUGGAGUACUGCAGGGGAGACUGGAAUUCCUGGUGUAGCGGUGGAAUGCGCAGAUAUCAGGAGGAACACCGGUGGCGAAGGCGGGUCUCUGGGCAGUAACUGACGCUGAGGAGCGAAAGUGUGGGGAGCGAACAGG
rnacentral:rRNA from 1 species